CGUAGGGUGCAAGCGUUGUCCGGAAUUAUUGGGCGUAAAGAGCUCGUAGGCGGUUUGUCACGUCGGAUGUGAAAACUCGGGGCUCAACCCCGAGCCUGCAUACGAUACGGGCAGACUUGAGUGUGGCAGGGGAGUCUGGAAUUCCUGGUGUAGCGGUGAAAUGCGCAGAUAUCAGGAGGAACACCGGUGGCGAAGGCGGGACUCUGGGCCAAUACUGACGCUGAGGAGCGAAAGCGUGGGGAGCGAACAGGAUUAGAUACCCUGGUAGUCCACGCCGUAAACGGUGGGUGCUAGGUGUGGGGAACUUUCCACGUUCUCCGUGCCGCAGCUAACGCAUUAAGCACCCCGCCUGGGGAGUGCGGCCGCAAGGCUA
rnacentral:rRNA from 1 species